CUCUGAUGGGAGAUCCUCUCUUUUGUGGGCUUUUCUUCUGUGAGCUUUUCUUCUGUGAGCCUAGAUGGUUGGAGCUGGGGCUGCUGCUGAAUUAUUUAGAUGAGGAAUGGGUGUUCUGACAGCAAGAAUUAUGGUAAAGACUUGAGAUUUACAAGGCAGGUUCAGAGGCAUCUAGAAGCAGUGGAAAAGAUAAACAAGAGGAGACAGAGCAGGAUGACUUCACACUGUGGUUCUGGGGCAAUCAGUUCGUGGGCUCUCUGGGCAGCGUACAGCUGGGAAGGCAUCAGGGCUUGUUCUCCUGCUGGCUCUGCGGCUGUUGCUCAUUGAACAGGUUGGAGCAAUCGACGUGGUUCCUACCGGGCUGCUGCUUCAGAAAGGUCAUGUACGCCCCAGCAAAGUCUGUCACUCGCCUUUUAAGAACAGUAGGAAUCAAAUCUUCUCAGUAACUGUGACCAACAAAGCUACGGGAGAUGUUUUGCAGCUUAAUAUUCUAUUACAGAUCAGAGCCACUGGGAAAACUUUUGAAGUAACAUAAGAGAGAAACAAAAAAACUAAAUGAAAAGCUCUUCAAGGCUAACGUCUUUUAGCAAUCUAGGCUGUCAGUACGCUCACCAAACUUACUUAUUCUUUCCUGUAUUUGGGAAAAAAUGAGGAACUGUUGGGAGCACCAGGUGGUUGCACCAAGCACCCAUGAAAUGCUCGUACAAAGAAUGGCUUGCCUGUGAGCAGGAGCUGGUUGACAUUCAGAGGGGAGGGAAAGAGGGUAAGAGAUAAAGACUUAAGAAAGAUGACAUUUUAGAAUUAGGUAUGUGCUGUGCAUGACUGGAUCAAAGGCUGCAGGUUAAACUAAACAUGAAUACAGUUCUGUUAGGGAACUGGUUGUGCUGUAUUUGUCACUCUGCAUAUCUUGCCUAUUUCAGGUUUCAUGGUAAAAUAUAGUCAUGGAGCUAGGAAAUGAAAGCUUCAUUAGCGGCCGUUAUUGCACUGAAUGGGGCAUUUCUGUACUCUGUGAUAUCAAGCAUUUGCUUUGUGCUUCAGAAAUUACUUUUUCUUCUCUUAAUGGGAGUGUGCACUUUUAAAAUUGCUUGAAGUGAGAACGACACCAGAGAUUAGUUUAACCAAAGUUUGUCAGCCAUGUGCAUUGUGUCAUUCACAGGUACCACAUGCUGCAGGAUGGUGAAAAAUACCCAGAAAUUGCAAUAACCGUAUGCUAAUUUAUAUCAUCAUAAAUUGGACUCUUUUCCUCUGUUGAAAAAUGUACCUUAAAGAGAUGAAGCGCAACUAAGUGGGGCUUACAUGUGAAUUUUCAUUGCCAUCUCUGAGCAGCUGUGAAUGUGUGUAAAAGAAUUAGGCACAUCUAAGCAAUUGUUAGGUUAUUUUGAUUUGCUCAGUGUGAUUUUUCAGAAGACAAGAUGCCUGAUGUUGCUGGGUAACGCAGUACACAACCCUGCAGAAAUCCGGAGUGGCUGCUGGUGGCUCUUGCUUAAUGUGAUUGAUAUACUGUAAUUUUCAUGCUCUAGGGGAAGUGGGGCUUUCACUUAGUUUUGGGGGAAGGAUAAAAACGAGUCUCUACAUGAUUACUUUUUGCCUCAGUGUUGCUCCCUUUGUGACAUAGGACAUUUAGAGGUGAAUAGAAAUAAUUUCUAUUUUAUUUUGAAUUCAUAAAUCAAUUAAUUUUUUUUAACUAGCCUUCCUUUUUUAAACACAUAAAUCACAAUGCCUACCAUUUAUUAUUCACCCUUUUCCACUCAUUUUAAGACUUGAUCUCUA